rnacentral:rRNA from 1 species
GGCCUUGACAUGCAGAGAACUUUCCAGAGAUGGAUUGGUGCCUUCGGGAACUCUGACACAGGUGCUGCAUGGCUGUCGUCAGCUCGUGUCGUGAGGAUGUUGGGUUAAGUCCGUAACGAGCGCAACCCUUGUCCUUAGUUACCAGCACGUUAUGGUGGGCACUCUAAGGAGACUGCCGGUGACAAACCGGAGGAAGGUGGGGAUGACGUCAAGUCAUCAUGGCCCUUACGGCCUGGGCUACACACGUGCUACAAUGGUCGGUACAAAGGGUUGCCAAGCCGCGAGGUGGAGCUAAUCCCAUAAAACCGAUCGUAGUCCGGAUCGCAGUCUGCAACUCGACUGCGUGAAGUCGGAAUCGCUAGUAAUCGUGAAUCAGAAUGUCACGGUGAAUACGUUCCCGGGCCUU